CAUGGUUGGACAGAUUGAGUUUUCUGAUAACCCCAGUCCAUUUCCCUAGAAAUGCAGAGGAUUUCUCCGCAGACAAAUAAUCUCUACAGUGGACCUCAAGACUUCACACUAGGAUUCUGAAGAUGAUUGAGUCAAUGGAUGAGUGUAACGAACUUUUGGAAACUUCAAGGCAAUUAAAGGAAACUGCAGGAGGACCAGAAAAGAUCAAGACCAGGGCACGAGGGCUGAUCCAAACAAUGGGGGCCGGCAUUUGUGAUCUUGGGUAGAGCCAC
rnacentral:lncRNA from 1 species